rnacentral:lncRNA from 1 species
GUUAUUUUAAUGCUACAGGUAUGGUGAGUCAAAGUUACCCUAAAGGGAGAUCACAGAGACAACUGUGGUUGAACAUGAAGUAGAUGGCAGGCAUCUGGGGCAUCACACUGCACAGUGCUUGUGGAGAAGAACUGCAUCUACUGUGCCCCUUGUGCUAAGCCAGCUCCUUUAUAUACUGCUGUACCGGACCCAUUGAACAAUGCUUGAACCUGAUCUUUCGUGUGCUGACAACCUGCCCUCUGAUGGGGCUGUCGUACCCCAGCAGCAGAAUGGACAAACAGCAAUUUUGCACCCCGUUCCGUAUGACGGGCAGUCAUUUCCACUGAAGAGCAGGCCUGGUGUAUUUCUCUCAGGCUUCUCCUUCUACAACAAAUCCCUUUCAUUUGGAUGAAGUCUGGCAAAUGAAAAGCAUCGUAUGCCAGACGCUCGCACAGAUGUUCCCGCAUGGCUUGCAGGAAGAAGUACAAGGAUAAUACAGCACCAGAUAGUGUCUACUAAAAAGGAUCCCAGACUUACUUGACUGUCAAGAAGGCCAGGUAGUCACAGACCUCCACUGAACAAACAGGUAAAAAUAGGUUGUCACAGUAGGCCCAAGAGCCUGGGUCCUGCCUGCGGCACUGGAGCUCCAGCUGGACCGGGAGAGCUCUUAUAUACUGCCAUUGCAGGAGUACGAUAUAAGUACUCUUAAAUAGAUUUGGGGCUCACAUCUUGGACUGGAGACUUCAGAGACAGUUAAUCUAAUCGGCAGAUGAAUUGACUUUGAAUCUCAAAGCAAAGCUGAAUAAUUUUAAUGACACAUAGUUGGAGGAGAUAUAAUAUUGUAAUCCCCUAUCGCAUGGCCAUGGUAAGUACUUACAGAUGAUGAAGAAACCUUGUAAAAAGAAACUGACAAGUUCAAAGCAAGUGAGGAGAAGCAAGAUAUUUUCUGCUGAGUAGUGCUUUCUGUCAGCACUGAAAUGACAACAUACUGCUCACACUGUACAUUUGUUACUGUGAUGAUCUCGUUCUCGAUUUUAAAACAGCUGUUUUUUCUGAGAGGCAUUAUUACACACCAGAAAAAGUUCAUUUGGUCCUAUUCUGCAUUCAAGAGAAAGAAAUUGACCAUAUUUCAUUUAUUUUUAGUAUAUCCCUUGAGCUGAAUUGUUAGAAAGAUAAAGCAUGAAAAUAAUGGUAUAGUAAUAUCUGCCAGGAUCAUGCUAUCCUUUAAAUUUAAACAUCACUUCUAUGCACCGAAGCAUAAUCUUGUACUUGUAAUUAUUAAUCAGCAGCACAUUAUCUGAACUACUCAAAGUCAGAUGUCAUAGUGGGUCCAGAAAAGGAGAUUCACUGCAGUGUCAUGAAGAUGAUUACAAUGAGGCAGCAGUGGAAAAAAGAACUAUUAGCGACAGUAGAACGCAUUGUUGCCAGAGACCCUCUGUUCUUUCCAAUUGUACC